UCUAGUAUGGCAGAAAAGUGCAAAGGAUUUAAGCUCCUUACAUAAAGAUCAUUCUUUUUCUAGAA
rnacentral:tRNA from 1 species